UACAGAGGGGGCAAGCGUUGUUCGGAAUUACUGGGCGUAAAGGGCGCGUAGGCGGAUGUUUAAGUCGGGGGUGAAAGCCCGGGGCUCAACCUCGGAAUUGCCUUCGAUACUGGACAUCUUGAGUACGGGAGAGGUGAGUGGAACUCCGAGUGUAGAGGUGAAAUUCGUAGAUAUUCGGAAGAACACCAGUGGCGAAGGCGACUCACUGGCCCGUUACUGACGCUGAGGCGCGAAAGCGUGGGGAGCAAACAGG
rnacentral:rRNA from 1 species